rnacentral:rRNA from 1 species
AGCGAACGCUGGCGGCAUGCCUAACACAUGCAAGUCGAACGUGAUCCGGGGCUUGCUCCGGUGAAAGUGGCGGACGGGUGAGUAACGCGUGGGAACCUGCCCUUUGGUCGGGGAUAACUGCGGGAAACUGCGGCUAAUACCCGAUGUACCCGAGAGGGGAAAGAUUUAUCGCCGAAGGAUGGGCCCGCGUCGGAUUAGGUAGUUGGUGGGGUAACGGCCUACCAAGCCUUCGAUCCGUAGCUGGUCUGAGAGGAUGAUCAGCCACACUGGGACUGAGAUACGGCCCAGACUCCUACGGGAGGCAGCAGUGGGGAAUAUUGGACAAUGGGCGCAAGCCUGAUCCAGCAAUGCCGCGUGAGUGAAGAAGGCCUUAGG